UUUGGGAUAUUAGGUAAGUUUUAGGUAUGUCGCAUACCACAGUCACUCCCAAGCACAUGUUGGCCGUGUCUCGAAUGAAUAUAGUUGGCCAGACUAUAUUGACCCUAGACACGACUACAUAACUGCCCAGGUUUAACCGCAACGUACAACACCCAUUUACUUAUGUUUUGUUCUACUUAUAGUUACGGAUUUCGACGGCUCGGCAUACUUAAAUACUUUUGAAAAUACUUAUAUAUUGUGGGAUACUUUUAGUUCAGAGCACUUAGGCCCCUUAAUGUUUAUAGUCUUAUACCAUGUAAGGUUUGGUAUACUCUUUUCACUAUAAACAAGGGCUCUGAUACCAAUCUGUCACACCCCGAAAACCAAAGGCGGAAACGUUCCCGGGGUUGACUCCACGUUGAGUAUCAAAUCCAAUGUACAUAGUAAUCACAGUAAACAACCAUUACAUUACAUAUAUAUGAAAGUUUACAUUUGGUUCAAAAGUAAAUUGUACAAAAGUUAUACAUAUAUCAUAUGAACAAAAGAGACGAGUCUUCAGAGCACUCCGUCUUCACCAAAAGAUAUCGCCGGGUACCUGUCUAACUUGGACCUGAGAAUACAAGCAGUUUGAAAAUCAGCAUAAAGCUGGUGAGUUCAUAAGCGGUUUUGUUUUGUGAAAAUGUAUCGAUUUCCUUUAGUUUUCUGAAAAGAUUUGAUAUCCAAGAAAAUCCCAUAUUUUCUUAUGUAAAGUAGUUAAGUUAUCUUUCGUUACAGUUCUGUUACAAGAUAUAAGUUAACCCCAGGAAAAUCCCAUAUUUUCCUAAAUGCAAGAUUGAUUGAAUAACACAUAGUAUAGUUUAAUAUACAAAACUAUAAUUUAGACGAACUGUAGAUAGAAAGUAUUUUGAAAACCUUGGGACUAACAUCCCGAACCAGUUAUAAGAUAAUUCGAUAAAGACCAUGGGAUCACUAUCCCGAAAAUAGAUAUAAGAUAGCUUGAUAAACCAUGGGAUCACUAUCCCGAAACUAGAUAUAUGAUAGAUUGAUAAAAUCAUGGGAUUAUCAUCCCGUAUAAGAUUUAGUUUCAAAACCAUGGGAUUACCAUCCCGAACGAGAUAUAGACACAAGAUCAUGGGAUUAUCAUCCCGAACGAGAUAUAGACAUAAAACCAUGGGAUUACCAUCCCGAACGAGAUAUAGAUACAAGACCAUGGGAUUAUCAUCCCGAACAAGAUAUAGAUUCUAAACAAAAUCCUAGCUGUGAAUAAGUUUAUAUUAAUACGUAUUGUGAGUCGGGUAACCAUGCUGAUAUGACAACGAGACCUCCUUGACGUUAGUCAGACGUCGAAUGAUAUACAGAAUUUGUCACCCCAGGCGUGCCCGCCUAACUGUAGCUAGCAGUUAAGGUGUGGGAUUGUCAGUCCCGAAUAGAUCUAUUCACAAAUUCCUCGCUCUCCCUCCAGGAGACUCUGGUUACACUUCCGGAGAGGAUUUACUUGAUCAUCCAUAAAGGGUAGUGACUAUCUCACAAGCUAGUAUUAAACUAUUCACAGGAUUCUCAUACGAUACCAAACAUACAAAGAUUUCAAGACAUGAUACAGUGAAAAUAGUUACAUACAGGAAACUAUCUGGCAAUACAUUCAAAUGAUACGGAGAUAAACUGAAUCAGACAUAGUUUAUCAAAUAACUUUAUACAGAUAUCAGUACAUGAUAUAAAGAGAAUUAUAGAACCCCAAAUUAUUCCCAUAAUAAUUUGAUUAGUUUGGUUAUUUUCUUAACUAAAAUCCAUUUAGUUGAAAUCGAUAAAUCAUUCCUUAUGCUCAACAUAAUACAUAAGGAGUAAAAGAGUUUAUAAGUUUGCCAGAUAUUAUUUGAAACACAUAAAUGUUAUGAUUUGAAAACAGUUUUGGUUUGCUUGUAUUCCCCCCCUGAAAACAGUUAAAAACAGUGAAAAAGGCGUAGGGGUAUGAACUCACCGGACGAGAAGUAUGACGAUUUGGAUGCUAAGAGUUGAUCCGGGGCUUGUAAAUACACGAGGUUCCUAAUUAUAAUGUAAAGAUACACAUUUGUAUCUAAUUAGGACUUAGUUUAUUUAUAUGAUAGGGACACUUGCUUCAAGUCGCGAAAACACUCCGAUACAAGUGUUUGGAGGGACCCGGGUGGCGUUUAAGGACGUGAAAUGACACUAGGGACUUGGGACUUGAGUUUACUCCCCAUGAGUAAACUAAUAUAAGAGUUUUGGUCUAAAACCACCCAUUCCCCAUGAGUUUACGGCCGUAAACUCAUGGUGGGUGUGGUUUAAGGUGCUAAAUGACUUCUAACACUUAGGGGAUAAUUUCUAGACUUGGUUUAAGGACUUGAAAGGAUUUUAAAACAUAAAAUAGACCCACUUAUGGGAGUUUACGGCCUAGCAUGGCUCCAUGGCCGUAAACUCCUAUUUUUCCAAGAAAAUGAUGUUAAAUGGAGCUAGAACAAAUCACAUGUGAUUAAUAGAAUUAUUUCAAGGCCUAUUAUGAGUUUGCAAGGGACAUUUGAGGAGUUUAUGGAGUUUACGGCCCAUGAGACCCCCUCAUGGCCGUAAACUCAUUUAUAGGGUGCUACAAGAUGUUUCAAGGUCUAAAACUUGCAUGGAAGGACUUCUAAAAUUCAUCUAAGGGCCUUAGGGGUGUUUAGUUUGCAUUCUAACACCAAAAAUCAUGGAGUUUACGGCCCAAGAACAAGCCUUGGCCGUAAACUCUUAAAAAUCCCACAAAUAGUGUGUUUAAGGCCCUCAAACUAUUUUUGGUUGGUCCAUUGAUUUAUUCCAAGGCUUUUGGUGGUGUUGGAUGGCUUUCUAACACCUUAGAAUUGAAUUUAUGCCAAGUUUUGAGGAGUUUACGGCCCAAGCACAUGCCUUGGCCGUAAACUCACAUAAGUCCCCCAAAAAUCAUGUUUCAAGUGUCCAAAUGCUAAAACCAAGGUUCUAUAAUUCAUAUCUAAGCCAUACUAGUGAUUUGGAAGGGUUUAAGGGCAUGAAAAACCCCAUUUACAUGAGUUUACGGCCCAAGCUUAUGCCUUGGCCGUAAACUCCUUCAAAUGACUCAAAAUCAAAGUUUUAAAUGUUCUAAGUCCAUAUCUUGAAGUCCCUUAGCCAUAUCUAAAGUCCAAAUGAGUUUAGGAAGGAGUUUAAGGGCUUAAAACCCUUCAAAUUGGUGUUUACGGCCUAGGCAGCCUCCUGGGCCGUAAACUCACAUAUGAUGUCCCAUUUCAUGAUUAAAUGUCAAAUUUGGAAGCCAAAUAUGCUAUAGAUUAAGGCUAGGAAGGUACCUUAAGGAUUUGAGGCCUUAAAAUUGAGUUUUGGACCCUUAAUCUUUGGAUUUAGGAGAGAGGUUAGAGAGAGAGUAGAGAGAGAAGGAAAAAGCUUCAAAUGAUAGGUUAAACACGUUUAUAUAGUUCCUAAAACUUGGACACGGUGGAAUUCUACCCGAUACCGGCCUUAAACGAAGCUUUAGGUCGCACCCGAUUGAGUUUCCGUCACCCGACGAGGAUAUUUCUAAAACUUAUGAAAUAAAUGUUUUGGGCUAAAUUCAUGAGUUCCUAAAUGAUUUGGACCCUCAUUGAAUGAUAAUAAACAUAUAAUUUUAGUUAACUAAACCCAAAAACAAUAUCGGGACAUUUCGAUCUCCGACGAGUUAUACGGGUAGAAUGGGUUUUCGGCGAUGAACAACUUCGGGUUGUUACAUUAUCCCCCCGUUAGAGGGAAUUUCGUCCCGAAAUUCAAAGAAUAAGAUACUGAUCAUGGAUUGGAAUGAGAUACGAAUGGAUUUGUUGCCUCGGAUCUUCACUUUCUCAAGUGGAAUCAGGUCUCUACUGGGCGUUCUAACGAAUUCUCAUUAUCGGGACAUGCCUUGGUUUCGUACUUUGACUCUCUCUCAAUCUACUAUAUCAAUUUGUUUUCUCAUGGAAGUUCCAACCCUGGACGACUUCGGUUUCUUCAAGGAAUCACGAGGGUUUCGUUGGGCAGAUACUUCUAAGGAUUCGAGACGUGAUGGUUUAGAUAGAUGUUACCAAGCUCUAAGGGCAUCCAAAACUUGAAGGUUGCAGAAUCGAUCUCUACGAAGAUUUCGAAAGGCCUGAUGUGAGACUAAACUAGACGUUCGAAAGAAACUCCUGGAAAUCCUUCGGGAUAGACAUUUAGAGGAAAGAGCUGUUAACUUCCCGUUUCUCAAUAAUCACAGAAACGAGGGAUGCGUGGUAAUUCACAUUGGGAAAACUUUUGAGUUCUAAGGCAUAGAAUGAUACGAAAGUUUGAUGCCGAAGAUCACGAGAACAGGGCCGAGGAAAAAUCUAGACGAGCGACCCUUUCGAAAGUAAAGAUAACAACAUGAAUGAGACUCGGUCAUUUCUGGUUAAACAUGGCAUCAAAGUAUUUUCAUGGAAAGUUUCCCCCUUUAUAAAUCGAAUGGAACAGAAUAGUCCUCCGGACUGAGGAUUCAAUCUAUAGGUACGAACUUAGUGUUCUCUAUCUCACUAGUUAGUCGUCUCGACAGUACACGUUUCGAUUACAUACGAAGGAUUGAGUUUAGAAAAUGUUCGAAUAGAUAGAUAACAGGUUUCCCUUUUUGUACCAAAAUCGAAAAGAGUUGCAAGUAUAAGAAUUAUCAAAGAGAAAUAUACCUGCGGCAGCAGAGGGAUUUGUGGUUGUAGCUGUCUUGGGACAAUUCCUUUUGAAGUGCCUAGCUUCACCACAAUUGUAAUAGGCCGGACUGAUUCCCGCUCCGGAUGAUUGGUUCGUUGGCUUGGCUGGUUUUCUGCAGGUUCGAGCAAGAUGGCCCUUAUUUCCAUAGUUGUCACAAAUCCUUUCACGACAUGGACCAGGAAUGCAGUGGUGGUAGUUGCACUUACCACACCAAGGAAGGGUACCAGUGUAUCCACUGGUGGGAGUUUGGGAUGUGGAACCUACAGAUGAAACAGCAACAGGGGCAGUAGCAGCAUGGACUGCUACCGUUUGCUGUUUCUUAGAAGACCUUUGCGUACUCUGGGCCUUCCUCUUGUUCCAGGAUUUCUUUUUACUUCCGCCUCCACUAGUGACUGGCUCGGGGGUAGUAGCUUCUUCAUCAGAGUUGUCUUCAUGAUCUAUCAGGAUUUUCGCAAGACAUUUAGCACUGUCAUAUGUGUCUGGCUUCGCAGCUAAUACAUUCCCUUUUGUUGGCUGGGUCAACCCCCAGAUGAACCUCUCUAUCUUUUUACUCUCCGGGGUAACCAUUCCCGGACAAAGUAAUGCCAGAUCGUCGAAUCUUGAGGUAUAAGCAGCUAUGUCAGAACCCUUCAUCUUAAGGUUCCAAAGUUCGUGUUCUAGCUUCUGAAGUUCGCCCCGAGGGCAAUACUCUGCGAGAAGAAGCUCCUUCAUAGCUUCCCAACCCAUAGCAUUGGCUACAGGUAAAGUUAAGGAUUUGACUCGGCCAUUCCACCAAGUCAGGGCUUUGUCUAGGAAGGUACAGGCAGCAAACUUGACUCUAUCAGACUCCGAACAGCCACAUAUUUCAAAGAUUGAUUCGAUUCUCUCGAACCAUCGGGUUAAGGCAAUGACACCCCCUGUGCCAUCGAAGAAUGUCGGUUUUGCGUUCAUGAAGUCUUUAUAGGAACCCCCUUUUUGGUGUCCCUGGCUAUCAUCUGGGUUUUGGGUUUCACCUCCCGAACCCCUAGAGUUCAGUUGAGGUAAGAGAGCUGAUAUGGUAGCGGAAAUGGUUGCCUGAAGUGUUUCCAAAUCGAUCUGAAUAGGAGGUGGUGGCGGAGGAGGAUUGUUGUUGUUCGUUGAGCUGGGUCUCUUUCUUGGAGGCAUCUUGAUCUAAAAAGAUCAGGAAAGAGAGGAUCAUAAGUCCUCUGAAUUGAAUCAAGAGAUAUGGGACAGGAGAUAUCUCAUCAAGGCAAAUAUAGCAUCAUACAAAGCGAUAAAGCAGAAAGGAGUUAUCAAGAUAGAACAUUUUAUCGCUAGAGGAAUGAUUAAGGAAUAACGCGUAUACGAGAAUUUCUACAAAGGAUCGGCUCGAGAAAUACUCCCAUAGUAUUUCAUGGUUCGCUGCAGCGACGAUUCGUUGUUUGGGAUAUUAGGUAAGUUUUAGGUAUGCCGCAUGCCACAGUCACUCCCAAGCACAUGUUGGCCGUGUCUCGAAUGAAUAUAGUUGGCCAGGCUAUAUUGACCCUAGACACGACUACAUAACUGCCCAGGUUUAACCGCAGUGUACAACACCCAUUUACUUAUGUUUUGUUCUACUUAUAGUUACGGAUUUCGACGGCUCGGCAUACUUAAAUACUUUUGAAAAUACUUAUAUUUUGUAGGAUACUUUUAGUUCAGAGCACUUAGGCCCCUUAAUGUUUAUAGUUUUAUACCAUGUAAGGUUUGGUAUACUCUGUUCACUAUAAACAAGGGCUCUGAUACCAAUCUGUCACACCCCGAAAACCAAAGGCGGAAACGUUCCCGGGGUUGACUCCACGUUGAGUAUCAAAUCCAAUGUACAUAGUAAUCACAGUAAACAACCAUUACAUUACAUAUAUAUGAAAGUUUACAUUUGGUUCAAAAGUAAAUUGUACAAAAGUUAUACAUAUAUCAUAUGAACAAAAG
rnacentral:lncRNA from 1 species